CACCCUCAGACAAUAUGUUGGAAAACUAGUGAACCUGCUGUGUGUGUGUGUGUGUGUGUGUGUGUGUGUGUGUGUGUGUGUGUGUGAGACUCUUCUUGAUACCUUUUCAGGGGCUGAAGGGCAUACUGGAUUUCACCAAUUGCUGUCUUGUGGCGACAUGGCAGAGAUUCAGGUUUGCCUUACAAUCAUUGAACCUGUGUGGCUCUGAUGGAAACAUCUACCAUUACAAGUGUGAGCUGUGUCUCCAUAUAAGAGAAACCCAAAUUGAGUUGUCCAUUGUGGGCAUGGAUAGAUGCCCAAGAGGAUAAUGUCUCCGAAUAAAACCUAAUCGCUCCCUAAAAUGUAAUGUAAUCA